ensembl:lincRNA
ACGUACAGUCUGUAUUUCCUGGACCACCUGGUCAAGGCCCUGCAGAAGAUGUGCCUGCAUGAGCUCACCGUCCCCGUCCUGCAGCUGGGGGUGCUGAUUUCGGAGUCCGUGGUGGGAAGCAAGGGCCUGGCGGAUCUCUACCGCCUCCGCCUCGCCCACGUGUGCUCCGAGCUGAAGCUGACGGAGGCAGCGGCACAGCACGAAGAGGCGGUCGGGCAGGUGCACAUCAGUGAGCUGGAGCAGGCCAGCUGCAGAAAAGAGAUCGCACUGAAAAAAGAGAAAAACAAGGAGCCCUCAUUAGAAGAAAGCCUGCCGGUGCUCAGCCAGCAGACCCUCACCGCCCGCUCUGUCGAGAUCAAACCACUGGAAGCCAAGGACAAGAUUUUGAAGAUGAAUGGGGAGACUGGGAGGGGCCUCGAUGGGACGUCCUAUCCGCACCUGUGGCUUCUGAAGGCAGAGGUUCUGCUGGAGAUGAGCCUGUACCAGCCUGCACGGCUGCUCCUGUCCGAGGCGAACCUGGCUUUCCAGGAGCUGGAUGAGCCUUGCGCAGAGGCCCGGUGCCUGUUCCUCCUGGCACAGCUGGCCAACAGGGAGAAGAACUAUGGACAAGCCAAGAGAAUGAUCGCACAGGCCCAGCACCUGGGCGGGAACGAGGAGUUCUGGUACGAUUCCACGCUGACCCUGGCAGAGGCGCUCUUGUCGACGGAACACCCAGGACGAGAAGCUACGGUGUGCCACAUAUUCCAGAAGCUCAUCAGUGCCCUCAAGAUUCUCAAGAAAGAAAGACCAAACCGAAUGCCGUUGUUAGAAUUCAUGAUCACAGACCUAGAAGCCAGGUGCCUGAGCCUGCGGGUCAGAGUUGCACAGGAGUCUGCUGUCACGGAACCCACAGAGUGCUCGCUGCUGCUGAAGGAGCUGGACGACAGCUUGUUGGAUAUUGAGAGAAGGUUUAUUGACUGUGGCUACAAAGAGAAUUGUGUUGACGUCAAACUAGAGCGUGCGAAGAUCAAGAGGUUACGUGCCCAGAACGAGAAAGAUGAAGAACAGAAAACUGCAUAUUACUUGGAGGCGUAUGGCCUGGCGCAGAGCGCUGUGGCUGAGGAAGAAGAGAGGUUCCAGAGCAUCCGGGCCUUGUUGUUGCUUCACAAUGUGCAGAACGUCAACACGCCUCUGAUGAGGAAGCUGGCGCGCCUCAAACUCGGCCUGGUGGAGAUGGCUCUGGGCAUGCUCCAGUUCAUCUGGGAGGGGGCCCGCGGGCCGCGGAGCGAGCAGGGGUCCCUGGAGAAGCUGCUGGCAGAGUAUCUGCAGAACACCAGCGACGACACUUCCGUUGGCCUGCAAUGGUUCACGCUGAAGCGCACCCUGGCACACGGGGCACUGGCGCAGCUGGGGAGCCUGCAGCCGCUGAGUGUGGGCUGCGUGGAGAUCCGUGCCCGGCUCCUGGGACUGGCCGGGAGGGCCAUCCACCUGCUGGCCGUGCAAGCCGACCCUGUGCGCCCCGCCUGCUACUGGGAGGAGGAACCCUCGGUGGGCGCCAAGCUGAGCAACCUCAGGUCUCUGGAGCUGGAAGCAGAGGAAGAGGAUGCCACAAAGUCCAGCAGGGACCUGCCAGCCUCCAGGGCGGCCCUGGAGGAGCACAGCAGGAGACGCGGGGACCUGAAGAGGAGGAUGGUUCUGGCCCAGCGGUACCUGGCACAGGCGUCAGAGGUGUUGCUGCAGUGCCUACACGUGGCCCUUGGCAGUGGCCUCCUGGACGUGGCGGCAGCCGCCAGCCUGGAGAUGGUGGAGUGCAUCGGCGCCCUGGACCCUGCUACUACCUGCCAGUUCCUGGCGCUGUCUCAGAGCUGCUCGGCCUCAGAGACGAUGAGGGAUGUCCUGCUCGCAGCCACGGCCGACACCAGCAGCUCCCAGCUGGCGGCCCUUCUGCAGCUGCAGCAGCAGCUCCGGCGCCAGGACAGGACCACCACCGGCCUGGGCGCCAGCGUGGAGCAGAGGCUGGCUGCUGUGUCCAAGGCUUGGCAAAACCUCUGCGUCACUGAGCAGCAUUUUAACCUCUUGAAUGAGAUACCUCCCACCUUUCGGCUGCUCUUUCUGCAGCUGUCACCGGACAGGUCCCAUCUGUACAGCGCUGCCUAUGAGAAACCCAAGUUCAUUCCUGUGGCCAAAGGAAAGGUGCAGCACGUCGGAGGCCCCUGCAAGGUGAUGCGGCUGGCUGUGAGUCCCACCGCCUUCUCCCACCUGCUGGCCUGUGCCCAGGAGUUCCGGCAGGAGAUGCAGGCCCAGGUGUACACAGAGGACCUGCUGCAGAGCACAGGCUCGGAGCCAGAAGGCCUGCAGGCGGAAGAGAAGCAGCCCGCGGUGCACAGUCCCCGCAGCGUCCUGGAGGCCCUGGAGGAGCUUCUGCGGCCGCUCUUCCCCGUGCUCGGUGUCCCCGAGGCCAGAGUGCAGAUGCCCGUGAUGGUUGCAGAUUCAGGGAAGCCCAAGGGUAAAGACAAGGAGAGGAAACCGUCCACAGGGCCACAGAACACAGCCCAGCCCGAGGUGGCUGAUAAGAUCGUCCUGGUCGCAGACAGAGAUCUCCUGGAGCUGCCACUGGAAGGUCUCUCCGUGUUCGAUGAGGGGACAAUUUCCUCUGUGUCACGAGAAUUUUCUCUCCAAAUGUUAUGGAAUCGCCUCCGUAAAGAAGAGACAGAAGGUGGCGUGAAAAAGGAGGGGAGAAGCAGAGACCCCAAGAAGAGAAGCCUGUCGAAGAAGGGCAAGAAGGGCAGCUUCCCCCGGGUCAUACCCCCCGACAGCAUCCUGGUCGACUCGGACAACUUCAAGUUCAUCGUGGACCCGUAUGAGGAAGCCCAGGGCCCAGAAAUGCUGACUCCUGUCUCCAUCACCCAAGAAAUUUUGGAAAGAUUCCAAGACACGUUCACGUCGCGAUGGGUGGGACAUCUGGGGAGCAAGCAGUUUCCCAGCCAGGCCCAGUGGGAGCAGGCUCUGGGCAGCUGCAGCGGCUUCUUCUUCUAUGGGAUGGAGCGCCUCCUGUCCCAUAUAUUAGUGGAGAGAUUGGUCGCCAUGAACUUGCAAGAGUGCCAGGUGCUGGUCGUGCUGGACCUGGCGCGGUCCUACCAGAGCAUGAGGCGGCACAUGGAGAGCCCGGAGCACAGGAGUGCCUCAAAGCCAUCCCUGGAGGAUCCCGUCAACGUGGCCAUCCUGCUGAGCCUGGUGGGGGUCAAGAGCAUCCUGGCGAACCAGUGGUCCACACUGCUGCAGGACAACGCGCUGCGGGCCAGCGUCCUUUGGGAAAAUCUGUUGGCCGUGGGGAAGCCGGUUGGAGAAACCGUGCGCCUCCUUCAGGAGAUGAGCGGGGAUGAGGCGGUGAACCAAGACGAGGCUUCUCAGACCUUGAAGGACAAGGUGCUCCUGCAGCUGCAGCCACAGCUCCAAAGCUCCGAGCUCCUUCCCACCACGCUCAACUUGGUCCUGUACGGGCUGCCACACCAAGCCGUCGGGUAGUGCGGGCCUGGACACCGCCCUCCGCCCUGCCCCUCUGCCAACCCACGGCCCUCCCAUCCCCACCGCCGGGCUCGCUCUCCCCAGCCCUUGGUGCAGCCUCAGCCUGAGACCUUCCUCCGUGCCCUCCUGCCGGGCGGUCACCUGGACCUCCAGCUCUGCUUGCCCAUGUGCGCCAUGCGGUCUGUGUUGGGGCUGGAGCUGCGUCUCUCCCUAGGGCCAGGAAGAGCCUCCUCCCAUCAGGAGGCUUCCAAAGCCCCAGGCUCAUUUAUGCUGGCAGCAAAACCGCCUUUCCCUGGGGAGGAGGCACCCCCGGCAGAGCCCCAGGAUGCCGACAAAGGCUCUCAGCGCCACGCCGCCGCUGGGUCACUCAGACCAGGAGCACCUUUAGGACCUGUUAGGCUGUUUUCGAUUUGAGUGUUCUAGUAAACAACAAAAGCCAGUCUCUGUGCGUGGUCUCUGUGAGUGUGUGUGUGUGAUCUCCGUGAGUGUGUGUGUGUGGUCUCUGUGUGUGUGUUUGUGGUCUCUGGGAGUGUGUGUGUGUGGUCUCUGGGAGUGUGUGUGUGUGGUCUCUGGGAGUGUCUGUGUGUGGUCUCUGGGAGUGUGUGUGUGUGAUCUCCGUGAGUGUGUGUAUGGUCUCUGUGAGUGUGUGUGGUCUCUGGGAGUGUGUGUGUGUGGUCUCUGGGACUUGAGGCUCUUUGUGUGGUCUCUUCGAGUGUGUGUGUGUGGUCUCCAGGACUCAAGGCUCUGUGUGUGGUCUCUGCCACUGGGAGUGUCUGUGUGUGGUCUCUGUGAGUGUGUGUGUGUGGUCUCUGUGAGUGUCUGUGUGUGGUCUGAGUCUCUGUGUGUGGUCUCUAUGAGUCUCUGUGUGUGGUCUGAGUCUCUGUGUGUGGUCUCUAUGAGUCUCUGUGUGUGGUCUCUGCCACUCGAGUGUCUGUGUGUGGUCUCUAUGAGUCUCUGUGUGUG